UACGUAGGGGGGCUAGCGUUGUCCGGAAUCAUUGGGCGUAAAGAGCGUGUAGGCGGUCCGGUAAGUCCGCUGUGAAAGUCGGGGGCUCAACCCUCGAAUGCCGGUGGAUACUGUCGGGCUAGAGUGCGGAAGAGGCGAGUGGAAUUCCUGGGUGUAGCGGUGAAAUGCGCAGAUAUCAGGAGGAACACCUAUUGCGAAGGCAGCUCGCUGGGACGUUACUGACGCUGAGACGCGAAAGCGUGGGGAGCAAACAGG
rnacentral:rRNA from 1 species